CCAAGCCCGGCGCCUGGCGUCGGAGGUGGCCGGCACUUGUCGCUAGCUUCUAGUCACCUCGGCUCUUCCUCAGCCCCGGGAGGUACAGAAUUGGCGAGACAGCCAUGCAAACGCUUUUCGUUAGAGGAGAGCUGGACGUUCCAUCUCGGGACUCCCUCUGCCGGCCGGGGAAGGACCAGGCCCACUGUCCUCCCUGCCUUCUCGGGCUCUUCGGACUCUCUGCCCUGCAGGGAAAGACUCGAGCCGAAAGCCCCAUCUCUGACCCUAGCAACUCAUACCCUUCUGGCUUCCCUUUAGCAAAGCGCCUGGACGUCAUCCCCUCUUCAGAUACCCCAGGCCUCGUCCUGGUAGAGACACCACCGCGGGCCACCUCCCGGCCCCCGCCCUUAGACACGGCUCUGGCCCUUCCAGUCAGAAUGGACAGCGUUUUAUUUGCUCCCGUUCACUCUCCUGACGUUCUUUUCCCCUCUCCCCACCCUCCCUCUCAAGGGCCCCCAGCUGGAGGGACCUCAGGGGCCACCCCCUGCUUGGGGAGGCAGCCACCCCUUCCCUUAUGAAGCGGUGUCCUCACCGCCCGCCCCCCGCAACUACAUUGGAGAGGCGCUCCCCUGCCCUCUUCCAGGGAACUUCCUUCUCCAUCAGGGCCAAGUCUGAGACUGAGCUAGCCUUCCAAGAGUAGAGCUGCAGUAUGCUUCAACCUGUGAUCUCCGUUAACAAGGCCACUGGCUUGACUAUUGCAGGAGAGCCUGAUAAGAUGGUAAGUAUACAAUGAAUAUUUGUGGAAUAAGUAUGUGGAUUCAUGAAUUGAUU
rnacentral:lncRNA from 1 species